rnacentral:antisense_RNA from 1 species
GUUCAUGGUGAGCUGGAUAAGGCUGACUUCGGUCAGGCCGUGUCCGUGUGUGCGGUAGUCUCAACCUUGUCCGGUUCACCACCCAU